rnacentral:misc_RNA from 1 species
UCCCCGUUACCGAGGCAGUAUGGUUAGAAAAAUCCAACUAACCACGAGGGUUGCGCUCGUUAAAGGACUUAACCUAACAUCUCACGACACGAGCUGACGACGACCAUGCAUCACCUGUCACUGGUCCAACUAAAUGACACUCUUAUCUCUAAGAGUUACGACCAGGAUGUCAAGUCUGGGUAAGGUUCUUCGCGUAGCCUCGAAUUAAACCACACGCUCCACCGCUUGUGCGGGUCCCCGUCAAUUCCUUUGAGUUUUAGCCUUGCGACCGUACUCCCCAGGCGGGAUGCUUAACGCGUUAGCUUUGCUACGCAAGAGGGUCGAUACUCUCACACAGCUAGCAUCCAUCGUUUACGGCGUGGACUAC